UACGUAGGGGGCAAGCGUUGUUCGGAAUUACUGGGCGUAAAGAGUGUGUAGGCGGUGCUCUAAGUUUGGUGUGAAAUCUCCCGGCUUAACUGGGAGGGUGCGCCGAAGACUGGAAGGCUUGAGUAUGGGAGAGGUAAGCGGAAUUCCUGGUGUAGCGGUGAAAUGCGUAGAUAUCAGGAGGAACACCUGCGGUGUAGACGGCUUACUGGACCAUAACUGACGCUGAGGCACGAAAGCGUGGGUAGCAAACAGG
rnacentral:rRNA from 1 species